UAAGACAAUGUAAAUAAUUUUACUAAUUUUUUUUUUCUUGUGAGGGGGGCUUUAAUCUUUCGAUCCCUUAUCUAUGAAGAUACAAUUGUUUGGUGAGUCCGAUUAUCAACAAAAUUUUUUCAUUAUUAAAAAAAAGUAGAUAGAUGGAUUUAUUUUUCACUGGCAGCCGCUAAGGUUAUACGUGUUUUUAUGAGCUCAGCAAUUUUCGUUUAUUGAAAAAAAAAUGAAUCGAAAGAUUUGUAUUAAAUUUUGAGUAAAAAAUGAAAUAAAGUGUGUGAAAUGUUAACAUAGGCCUAUGGUGGUCUGCCAUGAGUAAAACGAGGGUUUACGAGUGGUAUAAGCAUUUACAAGAUGGCUGUAAAGACGUUGAGGAUGACAAACACCUCAGCACAUCAACAACCGAUGAAAAAGUGAAAGAAAUCGUUAUGAACGACCGCGAAACACAAUCAGAGAAGUCGAUUGUGUCCAACAUCUAAUAAUGUUUGAAUAUCGAUUGGUUUGUACUAUGAAAUUUUUUCGAAUGUUUUGAGUAUGAAACGCAUAGCAGCAAAAUUUAUCUCAAAAUUGUUAAAUUUUGAACAAAAACAUCAGCGAUGAAGUCAACGACGAUGCAGAA